CCUCCUCUCUAUGGAAAUGAUUUCUCUGCUCUCAACACACUGAAGACAACAUGGGAUAGAAAGUCAGAAGAAAAAUUGUUUGGAUUAUUUUAUUAUACAUACAACUUGAGUGAUACUACUUUUCUAACAACAAGACAAUAUUAGAAGCAAUAUUUUUGAUAUGUAAAUUAAUUAUUAUUGCAUAAUUAUGAUUCUGACAAAAUACUGGCAAAUAUAUUAGGAAAGAUGAGAUCAGUUUUUUGGAUCUGGAUUAAAAUGCCACAUUUGUUGCUGGCCCCAUGGUCAGACCCUCAGUCUCUCUGCUCCAACCCUCCUCUGAGAAGCUCUCUGGAGGCCCAGUCACACUGGCCUGCCUGCUGACCAGCUACUCUCCUCAGGGAGCUGAAGUGAGAUGGGAAGUAGAUGGCACCGAGGUGACAGAGGGGGUCCUGAACAGCUUAGAAGAAGAGAAGAGUAGUCGCUACAGCAGCAGCAGCACCCUGAUGCUGAGCCAAGAGAACUGGAUGAACGCAGAGGUGUUCUCCUGCAGGGUGAACCAUCAUGACUACUGGCAGUCCAAGUCCUUCCGCAAGAACCGGUGUGAGGGCUAGAGGGGCUGCUGAAGUCCAGGACAGGAGCUUAGUGUGGGGGAGCAGGAGAUACAUCCCUGCUGCUCUGAUCAAUAUGAGUUUGAAAGUUUGCACAUGAAAUUAUUAUUAUAACAACAACUCAGAUAGUGACAUGUGUAGCAGCUGGAUGUG